rnacentral:rRNA from 1 species
AACGAACGCUGGCGGCAUGCCUAACACAUGCAAGUCGAACGAGACCUUCGGGUCUAGUGGCGCACGGGUGCGUCACGCGUGGGAACCUGCCCUUAGGUUCGGAAUACCUCCCCGACGGGGGUGCUAAUACCGGAUAAUGUCUUCGGACCAAAGAUUGAUCGCGUUUGGGUGGGCCCGCGUUGGAUUAGCUAGUUGGUAGGGUAAAAGCCUACCACGGCGUCGCUCCAUAGCUGGGCUGAGAGGAAGAUCAGCGACACUUGGACUGAGCAGCGGCGGAGACUCCUACGGGAGGCAGCAGUGGGGAAUAUUGGACAAUGGGCGAAAUGCUGAUCCAGCUAUGCCGGGUGAGUGAUGAAGUCCUGAGAGUAGUAAAGCUCUUUUACCCGGGAUGAUAAUGACAGUACCGAGAGAAUAAGCACCGGCUAACUCCGUG